AGUCAGUUUCAGGGCGGGGCGAAAUUCCCCACUGGCGGUAACGAAGGCGAGAAGCGUCGAAGAAGUCCGCGAGCCACCAUCACAAUGCGUGGUUGACCUGGUGUGAGUCCAGGACCAACGGUUACAGUCCGGAUGGAAGAAACGGAGG
rfam:Coriobacteriaceae bacterium KH1P3 genome assembly, contig: Ga0059117_104